rnacentral:rRNA from 1 species
GAUGAACGCUGGCGGCGCGCCUAAUGCAUGCAAGUCGAGCGACGCACACCCAGUCCGUAAGGACAGGGUAUGACGGAGCGGCGAACGGGUGAGUAACACGUGAACAACCUGCCCACAGACCGGGAUAGCCCAGGGAAACCUGGAUUAAUACCGGAUACCCUCAUAGGACCGCAUGGUCUCUUGAGGAAAUGCCUUUGUGCUGUGGGAUGGGGUUCGCGACUUAUCAGCUUGUUGGUGGGGUAACGGCCUACCAAGGCUUCGACGAGUAGCUGGUCUGAGAGGACGAUCAGCCACACUGGAACUGAGACACGGUCCAGACUCCUACGGGAGCAGCAGCAGGGAAUCUUGUCCAAUGGGCGAAAGCCUGAGACAGCGACGCCGCGU